rnacentral:rRNA from 1 species
AGUCGAGGGGUAUUUAUCUUCGGAUAGAGAGACCGGCGCACGGGUGCGUAACGCGUAUGCAAUCUACCUUUUACAGAGGGAUAGCCCAGAGAAAUUUGGAUUAAUACCUCAUAGUAUUAUGAAAUGGCAUCAUUUUAUAAUUAAAGUCACAACGGUAAAAGAUGAGCAUGCGUCCCAUUAGCUAGUUGGUAAGGUAACGGCUUACCAAGGCUACGAUGGGUAGGGGUCCUGAGAGGGAGAUCCCCCACACUGGUACUGAGACACGGACCAGACUCCUACGGGAGGCAGCAGUGAGGAAUAUUGGACAAUGGGCGCAAGCCUGAUCCAGCCAUGCCGCGUGCAGGAUGACGGUCCUAUGGAUUGUAAACUGCUUUUAUACGAGAAGAAACACUCCAACGUGUUGGAGCUUGACGGUAUCGUAAGAAUAAGGAUCGGCUAACUCCGUGCCAGCAGCCGCGGUAAUACGGAGGAUCCAAGCGUUAUCCGGAAUCAUUGGGUUUAAAGGGUCCGUAGGCGGUUUAGUAAGUCAGUGGUGAAAGCCCAUCGCUCAACGGUGGAACGGCCAUUGAUACUGCUGAACUUGAAUUAUUAGGAAGUAACUAGAAUAUGUAGUGUAGCGGUGAAAUGCUUAGAGAUUACAUGGAAUACCAAUUGCGAAGGCAGGUUACUACUAAUGGAUUGACGCUGAUGGACGAAAGCGUGGGUAGCGAACAGGAUUAGAUACCCUGGUAGUCCACGCCGUANACGAUGGAUACUAGCUGUUGGGAGCAAUCUCAGUGGCUAAGCGAAAGUGAUAAGUAUCCCAC